rnacentral:rRNA from 1 species
GACGAACGCUGGCGGCGUGCUUAACACAUGCAAGUCGAGCGGAAAGGCCCUUUCGGGGGUACUCGAGCGGCGAACGGGUGAGUAACACGUGAGUAAUCUGCCCUUGGCUUCGGGAUAACUACCGGAAACGGUGGCUAAUACCGGAUAUGACACCUUCUGGCAUCGGGGGUGUGGAAAGUUUUUCGGCCAGGGAUGUGCUCGCGGCCUAUCAGCUUGUUGGUGGGGUAAUGGCCUACCAAGGCUUCGACGGGUAGCCGGCCUGAGAGGGUGACCGGCCACACUGGGACUGAGACACGGCCCAGACUCCUACGGGAGGCAGCAGUGGGGAAUAUUGGACAAUGGGCGGAAGCCUGAUCCAGCAACGCCGCGUGAGGGAUGACGGCC